AUUCGUUCGGCAGUCUUGCCUGGUUUACUUCCCGCUGGUGCCCCGUAACAACGCGGUGUUGAAAGCCGGUGGUCCAGCAUAGCUUGCACCUGUCGAAAUGUCGGUUCGAUCGGGAAAAUCAUCUACUAUGUACUGACCUGCAGCGUUCAGCUUCAGAGUUUCUUGCGAAUGACGAGCCGGCGUCUGACUCACGGAAGGGGAAGCCACGAGUUACGACAGCUGUCAUGGAAAACGUUAACCGGGAUGCAGCGUUAUCAAAGCUCCUCGCCUCCUUGGAAAAGAACAAGGCGGAACUGCCAAGCUGCACCGACGAAGAAUUUGGCUUUCUGAGCGAACUGCUCAGAUCAAAAGAGCUCAAUGCGCUGGUCAAUGUUCACAACAAGAUAACCAGCAACUCAAAGGAUGACAAAUUUUUUCCUGUACUCUCUAAUGCCAUGGAUGUCGACAUCGAUGUUUUGGAUCUACUAUCGACAAGGACACAUGUAUCCGAAGAUUGCAAGGAACUCUUUCAUCUAUUGCAGAAGCCUCAUAUCCAGGGCUUGCUGUGCGCUCACGACUCCGUUGCUCAAAAGGACUACUACCCAAGGCCGCCAGAAAUACACGCGGAAGUCGACGAAGAUGAAGAGUACGUCAAACUUGUACAGCUUGUUAAAUCCGACGAGCCUUUGUGUGGUGCUGAAGUUGAACCAUUUGUGGGGGCGACGAUAAGAAACUGCGAAGAAACCGGCAAGAUCAUCUUUGUUCGGAUAAUGCUGGGAGGCGCAGCGGAUAGAUCCGGCGUUAUUCACGCCGGCGACGAGAUUUGCGAGGUGAAUGGUAUCAGCGUUGAAGGAAAGACACCGAGUUAUGUGCUGGAAAUUCUGAAAAAUACGAAAGGCACCAUCUCGUUUGUGAUUAUUCCAGCGGAUAGCAAGUCUGGCGUCAGGGAAAGCAAGGUUCGUGUUCGGGCACAUUUCUCAUACACCGCGGCUGAUGAUCCUUUCAUACCUUGCAAGGAAGCAGGCUUGGAUUUUGUCAAGGGAGAUGUACUUCAUAUUGUUAGUCAGGACGAUUCUCAUUGGUGGCAAGCACGACGUGAAGGCGAUCGCAAUAUGCGAGCUGGUCUCAUACCGAGCCGAGCCCUCCAGGAGCGAAUCAUCGUCUUACAGCGUCACAUGAAGGAGCAGAAUGACGAAACUGACAACAUAAGUCUGUGUUCUGUUCCAGUGCCUUUGCCUGCCCUGUGCCCUCGUCCCCAGACCUCCUCGCACGUCGUGCCCACAAAGUGCAACUUGCAAGCUCUUAAGACUAAAAAGAUCAUGUAUGACGUGGCAGAAAACGAUGACUUUGACCGCGAGGAGAUGCCAACUUACGAGGAAGUCGCCAAGCUCUAUCCGAGGCCCGGGUCCUACAGGCCCAUCGUUCUUGUUGGGCCUCCUGGAGUCGGCAGGAACGAACUGAAGCGCAGACUCAUUGCUACUGAUCCAGAAAAAUACAGGACGCCAAUCCCCUACACUUCAAGACCACCCAGACUUGGCGAGGUGAACGGCAAAGAGUAUUUCUUCGUGACGCGUGAAAGGAUCACCGAAGACAUAGCCUCUGGGAAGUUCGUAGAGUAUGGAGAAUAUAAAGGAAAUCUUUACGGCACAAGCAGGGAGAGUGUAGAAUCCCUGGUGAAUGCCGGAUACGUUUGUGUGCUCAGUCCGCAUUACCAGGCCGUCAAGAUGCUGCGGAAUCCGCAGCUCAAGCCGUUCGUUAUCUUCAUCAAACCACCUAAAUUCGAGAUCCUUAAAGAAACUAGGAACGAAGCAAGGGCAAGAUCCACAUUUGACGAGAAAAACUCACGGGGUUUUACGGACGACGAGUUCCACGAAAUGAUUCACCGCAGUGAACGAAUAGAAUACCACUAUUCUCAUCAUUUCGAUGAAACUAUCAUCAAUGCAGACCUGUCAAUGGCUUUUGAGCAGCUCGUAAACGCAAUUAUAAGAGUAGAAACUGAACCCAUGUGGGUUCCGGCCUCUUGGGUCCAGUGAGAAAUUUUGGAACGAAGAAGCCCAAGUAGCAGAAGCAAUCCGAAGAGUUUGAUACUGAGACGCGAAAUCGAGCCGUUGCCGCAGCCUAACUGAGGUAUACACAUUUCCAAGUGAUCAAUAUCGCGUCGUUGGCAUUCUCUUGCGUAAACUCGACUCCACCUGCAGUUGCGGAAGAAGGAAAAGAAGAAGAAGAAAAAGAUGAAGACGGGGGUGACGAAAGGAGAAGAAAAGAGGAAGGGGAGGAAGGAGAGGAAGGAAAAUAACCAUCCCAGAUGUCUAUUUCGGGAAAGGCGAUAUACGCACGUUGGAGUAUAGGUACAAUAUACUUGCAUACCUACGAACCCAGCGCAUCACGCGUGUGCUUCGCGAGCUUUAUUUUGCUACACGGGCUAUCGUAAAUACUUGAUACGCAGAUGUGCGCA
rnacentral:misc_RNA from 1 species